GUCUUCGGUCUACGCGCCCGGAAUGCAUUAACGCAUGCCUGAAAUCGGAUAUUGAAAGCUAAGCAGGUUUGAGCCCGCUUAUUACUUUGAUGGGAGACUGCCUGGAAAUACCAGGUGUUGUAGGCU
rnacentral:rRNA from 1 species